rnacentral:tRNA from 1 species
GCUAGCUCAGCUGGUAGAGCAACGGACUUUUAAUCCGCAGGUCCCGGGUUCGAGCCCCGGGC